rnacentral:lncRNA from 1 species
GACCCCAUUUGAAGUUUUGUUGGCAAAAAUACUGGAGGGGUUUGCCAUUUCCUUCUCCAGUUUAUUUGUCAGAUGAGGAAAUUGAAGCCAACAAGGUCAAGUGAUUCACCCAGGUCACACAGCUAAUAUGUAUCUGAGACUGGAUUUGAACUCCGGUCUUCCUGACUCCAGGCCCAGUGCUCUGUCCACUGUACGACCAUGCUGCCCAGUACCAAUUUCGGAGACAAGGACAUCUAAAGGAAAAUGAGGACAUCUCUUCCUUUUAUAUGCAUUUAUACCAUUCUUCAAGCGUCUGUGAUUUUAACAGCAUCCUCGAAGCCCCCAACAAUGCAGGAUCACUGCUGGCAUCUGCCUAGAAAUUUGCUGAAAUAAGUUCCCAAGUCUCACUGCCAAGGCUUUGUACUGUCCUCAUGGGCAAGACUGGUGCCCUCAGCCAGCUGCCAAGAAUUUGGAUAUUUCCCCAGCCUUUGCUCUGAAGCUGGUAUGGUAGGUGAUGUGUGUAUGGAUGAUCAGCUCACACUAUGAAUCACAGAAUUGGAAAGGACUCCCUGAUUGAGGCCAUCUGGUCAAGUCCAUACCUGAACAUGAUCAAAUGUGGAAAAGAGAAAGGGGAAGGGGAGGGAAGAGAAAGACAAGGAAAAGGAAGAGGGGCAGAAGAAUGCCUGGUGGUGCUAAAAAGGAAGGGAAGAGCCUCCAACUGCCCUAGUCAGCCCAUUUUACCUUGGAAUAAAUCAAAUUGUCAAGUUAAAAAAAAAAAAAGAAAGGAAACAUCAGGGAAAAAAGAAGCUGCUGUGUAGGAACUCCUUUGAGAAGGCAAUAAAGGAGUUAAAUAGCUAAUUCUAGCUUGAAUA